ACAAAUCCAGUUUAUUAAUUUAAAUCUGAUUUUUUUCAUGAGUAAAAUGCAUUUUAUAAUACUAAUAUAGUUGGUUUUCGUUUAAAAUGUUAAAGGUCAAGCUAUCAUCCUGGAAUAGUAACUAACUUAUAAUGUAGCAUUUCAAAAAUUAUUUCUGUUCCUUUGAGAUAAUUUCUAAUGUUUCAAAAACCACAUUCUUGUAACUUUUUUCUUAAAUGUUUUAUAAAUACUCAUAAGAAACAUGGUCUGCAUUAGAGACCCACUCUUACUAGGCUCUCUGAGGCUCUGUCAUAGAUUAUGUUUUAGGCAAUAUAAACCGAGCACUGACGACAGUGGUAGUGCAUUUUUGAUUCACUAAAGCAUUAAAGCAAUACCUAAUUUCAGUUUUUAAAUCACAGCUUUGUUACUCUGGAUAUAUGAU
rnacentral:lncRNA from 1 species